GCAACGACACAUCCACCCAACAACAACGAGCGCGCCCACCUCGUCGCGAAGCACCUUACCCGCCGCGACGCGGUCACCCAGAGGGAAGCCGCCGCCGUUGUUGUGCGGGAGCCCAGCG
rnacentral:lncRNA from 1 species